ACUUCUGGUUGAACUUGCGUGAGGUACGGAUGUUACAAACGGAGUUCCAACUAAUGAAGAGCAUGUUCCUGGCCUGAGACUGAUAUCAAGAGAACCACCGAGGAGGCUCCGGUCUUUACGAAGCAACAGCCGGUGUGGAGAUAUCCGCAUUAAUCAACGAACAGGUUGUCGGAGCUCUGUCCAAGACUGACGGUGUGAAUGGAGGCGCAUGGUAGAGGGUCAUGGUGAACGCGUUGUGGCUGCCCUCCACUGAGUUCACACACUGACUGCAAACGCCAGAGUGCUGACUACUGCAUCAUCCAUCGCUACUAUGGUCUAACUGUCCGGCGGCCCUUCAUUCCUAGGCGUGAGCUGGGCUGCCUCCUGAACAAUAAUAGAUGGUCAGACUCAUGGCUUAUCAGAGUUGCUGAUUAAUGAGCUAUCUUGUUCGUAAGAGUUCGAAGGACUCUUUCUUUGUUUUUUUUUAUUAAUUUUUUUAUUACACAAAAUGUAGUGACUGUUUCUAGGGACGGUCUUUGAGGUAUAAUAAAACAUUCAUUGCA